rnacentral:rRNA from 1 species
CCUACGGGAGACAGCAGUGAGGAAUAUUGGUCAAUGGGCGGAAGCCUGAACCAGCCAAGUCGCGUGAGGGAUUAAGGCCCUACGGGUCGUAAACCUCUUUUGCCGGGGAGCAACACCCUCCACGUGUCCCGGCCUGCAGGUAACCCGGGAAAAAGGCCCCGCUAAUUCCGUGCCCACAGCCGCGGUAAUACGGAAGGCGGGAGCGUUAGCCGGAUUUUUUGGGUUUAAAGGGGGCGUAGGCGGGCUUUUAAGGCAGCGGUAAAAAUUCGGGGCUCAACCCCGCCCGGCCGUUGAAACUGGGGGCCUUGAGUGGGCGAGAGGAAGGCGGAAUGCGUGGUGUAGCGGUGAAAUGCAUAGAUAUCACGCAGAACCCCGAUUGCGAAGGCAGCCUUCCGGCGCCCUACUGACGCUGAGGCACGAAGGUGCGGGGAUCGAACAGGAUUAGAUACCCCAGUAGUC